GAAAGAGUGUAACAAAUGAGAGUGAAGUGGACUUCAGCUUGUUGUCACAGCUUCAUAGCCGUGGGCUUUGGGGACGUUUGGCAAAGACACGAGCUGGUGGAAAAAGAAAUGUAACUCCGAAUGACAGUUCCAGGGUUUUUUUGUGAAGCAAUGGUGUGGACGCCACUGAUUUGUGUUUUAGGAAAUAACCUUUGAGGAUUGAACAGUAGACAUCGUUCAGCCUCUGGAGAACCUAUUAUAUCACCACUACGAUGCUUACUACAGAAAGGGAAAUAUUAUUCUAAAUGAUUUUUUUUUUCUCCUGUUUUGUAGUUUCUGAAAAUGCUUCCAGCUGUUCAAAUGUCUGAUGCUUUUUCCUUUCUUCUUUUUUCCUUUGGAGAGACUUUUAUUUUUCAGCAAAUAUGUGUACUUUCAGUAAUGUGAGAUCUCUCUUGUGACCAGCAGCGUAACUCUUCUUAAAUGUAAAAACCACUGCGAUCCUUUUCCAGCAUUCCUCACGUUCCCACUGGGGCUGCUGAGCUGGCUGCCUAAAAGUGGCUUUAGAGCCACUCCGUGUAACUCCGUGUCAUGCUUUUAAUCUGAAAGCGUUCCGUGUUUUGGAUUUCAGCUGCUACAGAAAAUAAGUAGUGAACAUCUUUCUUUGGAGGAAAUUAUAGCCUUAUGCAAUUCGGAGAUAAUAACAUGCAAUUAAGACAUACCGGAAAAAGCACACAUGGAUUACAUUUGAUAGUCUGAGGUGUCAGCUGUGCUUUUUUUUUUUCAUGUUUGAUGUGAUUGUUUUUCUGAUUCACCUACGGUAGACUGAAAUAACGCUUAAUAAUUGCUUUCUGGUAGAGUAAAUGCAACUGGAAUGGCAGCUGAGUAAAGAAGGGCAGGGAAGGGAAUGGAAACGGAGCAAGGAAAUGUUGAACGUAGGUCAGUAACCGGGCAUGAAAAAUGGUUGAUACAGAAGCAAAACAACCUCUGGGUUAGAAGCAGGGAGACUGCAGUGGGGUGUGUUUCUUCCAAGUGCACUCACAAAGUCUAACACGGCAGUUACAGCGCUGUCGCCAACAAAAAGGUGUUCAGGAAGAUUUCUGCUUUGUGUGCAAUGAAAAGCCAGGUGGAAUAACUCGAGCUUCAAACAUAAAAUCAACAUUUGAUGUUGAUAAAAUACCGAUUCUCAGAUGUGGAGUACCACCUUGUCCAGUGGGUCAAAUAUAAAUCAGUGUGCAAAAUUAAAAACGAAUGUCAUCGAAUGUAAGGGAGCUCAGUACCAGGGAUGAUAGUGAGGUGUGAGUGAAGAGUGUGUAUCACCAUAACAGUAGUGUUGAUGGCUCAGAAAGGAUGCAUUACAGAUUGCCAGAUGGUUAAAACACCGUAAUUGUGUUACAGAGUUUGAAAGGUUGAACAUUGGCCCUGUGAAUAAGAGUCUAAGCAGCUGAUAGUUGAGAUUAAAUACAUUUACUCCCAAGUUUUCUUUUUUGACAGCAGGGACAAAUGAGCACUGCAAUACAUGCAAAGGACUCUGCUCUUUGAUCAGCAUGAGACAUGUCCACCCAAACUGGGCAGUUUUCCUCAGAACCAUGCCAGAGGUUGGGUUCAUUCACAGAACCCCCAUAGCCUCAGUUCCACAUGUGGACAGACAUCUUUCCUGGUCCUGGGGGCUACAGAUGCAGUGUUUUUGGAAGGACUGCUCUCAGGGUUGCCAUCCUGCUCACAGCUUCGUGGCUAUGAAAGGGUUGAUAAGAGUUGAAAAAGCAGUGGGAGCCAAAGUGCUUCCUCGCUGCUUGUUAAGUGGGAGGCUCUGUGCAUAUGGCAUUUCAGAGUGCUUCUGGGCAAAGUAGUGGAGAUUUUCUUUUCCCAGAGCCAGGGAUUUAUUUACAUGGUGUUGGGAACAUGUUCAAGUGAGUGCUUUAGCCUGGCAUAUUCGCUGUAUGCCAAAAGAGGAAUAUUACAUUAAAAUGAGAAGACAACUUGAGAGCCUAAAAUGAACAAGUGCAGAAAGUGAACUCACGGGUUUCCCAGUGAGAAGCACCGUGGGAGCACUGCUGGUGUGCUUGGGGGGGGGGAGCGGAGCAGAUAAAAGAUAAGGCCGUAUAAAUCAGCCCGGCAGGACAACAGCGGCCCCUCUGAUCUGCCCCGGCUGAGAUUUGUUUGCCUUUCACAUUUCUGCGGCUGCUCUUCCCCAGACGACUCCUGAAGAGCAGCUCUGGAGCAGUGCAUUUGUAGGAAAUCACUGCAGCUUGUCAUUCGCAGGAAGGAUCCAAAAAAUCUGUUAAAAACAAAAAGCUUAAACCAGAAGCAAAGUGCUGGUAAAGAUCUGGUUGGUGCUUUGCUGGUCUGUAGUUUCAAAGACAGGGGAAUGUUGGUGGGAUAUCUGCUGCCAUGCAGUUGCCUGUAAGCCUGUAGCCUACGGGGCACCUUGCAGAUGGCUGGAAUUUGCCAUCUGGCAUCCUUUGUGACUGAGAGGAUGGACCACCCUGCACGUGGCUUUUCUCACUCCGGAAUACAGACUGCCAGAAAACAAAUUUCAGGCAUCCUCCUUUAAAUUCAAAGCACCUGGAAGCACCAAACUUACUCUUAUUUUGAAGGUUCCAUUUUUCAUUCAUUUUUUCCUGGCUGUCACAUGAGACUGAGUUUAUACAUUAAUAAAGAGUAACAUUUAGCUCUGUGAAAUGGUUACAGAAGGUGUUUUUAAUUAAUCUUCAGGACAUCUUAGGUUUUAGGAAGUGGCUUUUGGCAGCUGUCCCUUUGACUCCUUCCUUUACUCCUCAGCCACCACUGAAUGCCCCACUUCUCUGCUCUUACACCCAGCAGGUGGGAAGACGAGCAGGCAAGGAGUGCUGGGGCCAUGGCCAGGUCCUGGCGGUUGUAACAGCGUCAGAGGGAAGGCAAAAUGAAGGGUGGAACAUUACUCCCACCCUGCCUGUAGCCGGCACGUGUCCAUGCAGCCUGAAGUGAAUCUCUUGGUGGGAGGCAACACUGCGAGAGCGGGGCCUUGGAGGAAAUGUCCUGAAAGCCACCUGCUGAGAAGGCAGAGCACUGCCAAGUCGGUCACAGCCACUUGAUGUUGCGUACCAUGGGACAGCGGCUGACAGCGAGGUGUGGGCAGCUGCAUCUGAUGAACAGUAGGAGUUUAUUGAGUUGGCAUUUGAUUGUUGGCCCGUGUUUGGCAGAUGUCUGCAGCAACGCAUAACGUGAGGGUUGGGCAGGCACAUUGACAGUACAUGCUCCUAUGUACCCUUGCAUCUACUGAAUCACAGACUCACAGAGUGGUUUGAGUUGAAAGGAACUUUAAAGGCCAUCCAGUUCCAGCCUGUGCCAUGGGCAGUGACAGCCCCCACUACACAAUGGUACCCAAACGUGAAGGUGGAAUCCAACUAACUCACCUUGCCUUUCUUAUCAUGAAGCCAAGUGUUCGUCCACAAUACAUUUCCACUGUUCCAAUGAAGUUAAAGACCUGCACUACUUAUGGCUGUUGAGCAUUCUCUCCUGAUGCUCUUUGAAAGCACUGAGCUCCCAGGAGCUGAGCUGCAGGAUGGGCUCGGGGCAGCGAUGAGACGCACAGAGGCAUCUCAUUGAGCAUAUGGGAGGAAAUGAGAAGUGAUCUCAUAUCUUCCCAUGGGGUUUAGAAGUAAGAAAGACAGCAAAAGUGACUUGAAUGUCUUAAAAUGUCUCUCUUCGCAUCCAGAAGAAUACAGUCGCAGCAAAGUCAUUUUAUAAGAGAGCCCUAGCGGAUACAAGUGAUACGGCAACUCUUAUAACACUCUAAAACAUCUAUAAAAUUAAUUAUACGUGUUAUCAAAAUGAUUCAUACCAGCCGUGGUAAAUCCCAUUCAUUACAAGUGAGAGUUUAAGUCACAGUUCGCUGCCUCUUAACAGCUGCACAAAUAGAGCGCACUGUCGCCAUGGGGUUGAAAAAGGGAUAGCAUGUCACCUUUCAAAUUUCAUAAGAAUGUGAGAUGUAAUUGCACGCUUCGAGACAGAGGCAGUACUUCUGGGAUCUGUAACCCAGCUCAGUUGUCAGAGACAGGAAAACAAAUAAGCAGAACAUAAAAAAGCCUCCCAUGUUAAGAGAUGGCUUUAACCGCAGAGGCUUUCCGAUCAGACCUGUUUCCUCGCCAUCCUUCUUAUUUUCCCAUAACUUGAAGAAUAAGUGAGUUUAAUUUUUGCCUCGCCCUGGCCUGCCGCCAGCCUGCUGAGCAUGUCCCUGGAGCAGGGAGGAACUGCAUGUCUGCUGUACAGCUCUGCUGAACCCAGCUAACACCGCGGGUCGUCUGCUCCGCACAGCGCUGGCUUGCUGGCGGUGUUUUCCCUAAAUAGGGAUUAAGAUAACUUGUUCUACUUAAUCAAAUUAGUUAUCUUUGAUUCAAUCAGGUUUUUAAGCCAAAUUCCCAAGACAAGGUGGUUUUAGUAGUUUGUUUGGUUUGUAAUCUGUUUUCCAACAUAAUCUGCUUAAUUCUUUUUCUGUAUUUGCUUUCUGGCUGUCUCAAAUGUAUGUGUAAAAAGGAUGUUGGCUGGCUUGAUACAGGGAAAUAGCUAACUUAGCGUUCAACCUCUUGACAGUUCCUCACUCCAUCAGGAAGCCAUUCCGUCUUCCAAGUCUCUCCCUGGGUCAGUCAGGAGUACCAGUCUAGCUGAUCUGCGGGCUGUGUUUCAUUGGGUUUAUUCCAGUUCUUUUCUUCCUCUGCUUCACAUUUGUUUCUCAUCCUGCCUCUCACCCCCAGCUCUAUCUGCUUCAUCUCCCAUGUGAGGGAAGGCUGAGUAACCUGGGUCUGUUCAACCUGGGCAAAAGAAGACUGAGGGGGGAUCUGUUUGAUGUUUAAAAAUAUCUGAAAGGAGGUGGGAGGCAAAUAGAUGAGGCCAGGCUCUUCUCAGUGGUGUGUAGCAAAGGGACAAGGAACAGUGGCCUAAAAUAUGAACAUAAGAAGUUCCUUACUAACAGGCAGAACUUCUUUACGGUGAAGAUGACGAAGCACUGGAACAGGCUGCCCAGAGAGGUUGUGCAGUCUCCUUCUAUGGAGGUAUUGAAGACCCAUCUGGACACCUACCUGUGCGACCUACUGUAGGGAAGCUGCUUUAGCAGGGGGUUGGGCUCAAUGAUCUCUUGAGGUCCCUUCCAACUCCUGCAAUUCUGUGAUUCUGUAGUUUUGGAAAAAAAAAAAAAAAAAAGAAAAGAAAAUUCAGUUUUUUCUGCCUAUCAUCAACCAACACACUGGCCCUUCUGGACACGUUCCUGGCCGCCCAGCUCUGGGCGUCCUGCAGGAGGGGGUUGGACCAGGUGACCUCCAGAAGUCCCUUCCAACCCCAACCACCCUGAAAGUCUGUAAAAGCUCAAGUCUUAUCAGAGCUCUUUCUCUCUUUAUCGGGACCCUUUAUGCCAACUGAAAGCAUUUCGAAUUCCAGCCACCACAUCCUAGAUAACAGGUCGUUUCUGUGUAACCAGUUCAGAAAGGCAGGACUCGUUUAAAUAAACAGGACCUUUGAGCACUCCUCUUACUUUUUCAUUGCUCCCCUAGGUUUUUAGGCUGGUUUGCAGCAGAAAUGGGACACACAGCCAUGCUUUACCUCUGUUUUCUCCAAUAAUUUUUCGAAUCCAUUCUUUCAAAGAGCUAAAAGUCAAAAAGAUGCUGAUGGAUCUUUGGAGAGAGGAGAUGGAGGCAUUCCUUCACGCUGUGAGCUCCUCUCUGCCAGAGGACCUGGGGGGGAGUGAUGACCUUUUGGUGCUACAGCUCUCCACAGAAGGAGGUCCAUCCAUGCUCUCAGCCAACCAAUAGACCACACAUUUACAUUUCAUUAGCCCUGGUGCUCUGAUGAAGUUUUCAAGGGCCAACAUUAGUAUGACACUGGCUUUUCCUGGGAGCUGUUAGAGGUGAGACCUACACAAACAGCUGCUUUAUUGAGACCUGAAACGGCGACAGCAUUGUGCACAUGGAAGUGGGAGAUAUACAUAGGUGGAGCUGGUGGUUUGGCUGACAUCCCAGAAUUUUAUUUCAUCUCUCUCUAAAUGCUGGGCAAAUGAUUGAGUGGGUGAGAAGCUUUGCUUUCCUGCCUGUCUGUCGGAGAAAAGUCCUCCUCGUGCCAAAUCCCCUGAGCUAGCGCUAGGGCCCUCCCUUUUAAUCUGUUGCUGCCUCCACUUUCACUGACCCGAAACCUGAUUUUGUUAAUCCUUUAGUUUACCUUUGAAUAUAUUUUCUUUGUUUUUUUUUCUUUCUGAAUCCACUCAGAAAAGGAUUUGAGUCCUCCCUGCCCAAGAAUACUCAGCUCAGAGGAAAUUCCCCAGAUAAAUUUCAUCAUUAGGAAAAACUUCUCCAAAAGAGUGGUUGGGCAAUGGAACAGACUGCCCAGGGAAGUGGGGGAGUCACUGUCCCCGGGGACGUCCAAGAAACAUAUAGGUGUGGUACUUAGGGACAAAGUUGAGUGGGCAAUACUGGUGUAGGUGGACAGCUGGACUAGGCAAUUGGAGAGGCCUUUUCCAACCUUAACAAUUCUAUGCUUAUAUGUUCAGGCUGACUUACCCUAAAGAGAAACCCCACCUGGAAAGUAACCAGCGCUGUCACCCCCAGUGUAAAUGGUGUCUGUUUGGCCAGUGUGUUUCUGUCUGCCCUUUUGGUACACAGCUAUGGGAAGCGCAUAGGUCUUUGCAAGCUGGUGACCAAUUGGGUGACCAAUGGCAGCACCCAGCAGGAGCUACGAGGUCAACAUUGCUGCCUAGCCCUGUUGGCAAAGCUUGAGGCAAAACCUGACACCCAUGGCAAGUCAUUCCCCUGACUUAUAUUUGCUUUUUUUUCUGCCCACACCAUAAACUGGUGCAUCUUGCACCAAUGCAUCCUGCUAUGCCUUGCUAGUUGUGCAAAUGCUGACACAAAGAUAGAUGAGUCUGUCAGGGUGGGUGUGCAUCUGUCUGUAACCUCUCUCUUUUUGUUAGUACUGCUCUGGUGCUGUUAGCACCAUUAAAAGUGUUAAACAAACAAUAUGCAGAAUAUUAAAGGAAUUUUCACCUGCAAUCUGACUUUCAGAAAUACCAGGGGUGCUCCAGAGCACUGAAGGUUGGUGUGUUGGGUGUCAUUAUGAGACUUCAGGGAGUCCCAUUUUCCCACUCUGGGAAAUGUUUGGAUUUUAAUGGUGAGGAUCUAACAUGGAUGUUUGAUUGAGAGGGUAUUGCAGAUGUUAUUCACUGACUGCUAUUCGAUUUGCAUUACUGUCUAUGCUUGAUGGAGCGAGAUGCAGCUCCAUUUUUAUGAAAGCACGGGGGAUGAUGUGUGUUAGAAUUUCACUUCAGUGGCUGCUAUUGCACGGUGCUCAUAAGUGCGUAGAAGCAUUUGCAGCCAAAACCUGUGAGGAUGGGUGGGGUUCAGUGGAAUUAUUUCCAUCUGGGUAAUGCAAAAUGUACUGUAAUAGAAAAGUCUUUGUACUUUGUUAAAACGCGACUUUCUUACAAUUAGAUUUUAAGAACUAUUUUUCUAAAAACGAGCAAUCCGAUUUUCUUUUCUUUUCUUUUUUUCUUUUCCCUGAAAAGAAUCCUAAUUCUUUGCUAACAUCCAACAUCUGCAGACAUCCCGAGGCAGCCAAAGCCCACCAGAAGCUACAAAAAGGGCAACUCCCUCACCCCCAGC
rnacentral:lncRNA from 1 species